AUUUCUAUGGCUCAUUGGCCAAAUCAUUUGUGCAGUCAUGGUGGGCUUCCUAGCGAUUGGAUGGCUUGUGUUCCACGAGAUUAACAAUCUGGGUGGAGAACCAUUACCUAAAUGACAAUUGCAGUCAAUGGUGGAUUAUCGCAGUUAGUGGCUUUGCAUUCAGAACAAUUGCAACCAGUCGUGCAUUCUGAAGCAGCUGCACUGACCACAAUUCCGAUCGAUGGAGCAAUUGCAGUGAGAAUUCGGUCAGCAGGUCCACCGUUAAGCAA